rnacentral:misc_RNA from 1 species
AUGCUUAAAAGCAAGUUUCGGUUUUAAAUUUUUUUCCCUGAAAAAAAAAUCUAAAUAGAAUUGCAUUUGGCUUUCUCUAUGUAUAGCAUGUUAACAGAAAGCAUAUCAUGUGAUAUUAUCACACAAAUUUUUUAAUAAUUCAUAAAUUGUAAAAAAAAAUCAUAAAUUUUGUUCUUAUUUCUGAAAUAGUUAAGAGUAUCAUUUUCAUGUUUUAAAACACUUGCACAUUUUAAUCACUACCAACGCUAAAAAUUAAAGAACAAAUGGAUAGCAAAAUAAUGACAAAUACUUGAUAUUAAAAAAAAAAUAAAUAUAAAGAGAGAAAAAUAUAAA